UUAUGCGAUGCGACCUCUGUUACGCAGUCAGUUGCUGAACAUGAGGACGUUAAGACGUAUCAUUCAGUGCAAUACUUUCGUCGUACUCUCGUGCUGUUAACUUCGUUUAAUUGAAGUUGUUGGUUAUUGCCUCGAACUAUUAAAGAGACGUCAUGAAAUUUAAGGACGCUACAAAGAUUGGUACAUCCGGGAACUAUUCUCGAAGGUUAUUCCUUGAUCUUUUCGCAGAGGUAGUAUAGAAGAUGCAGAGACGCCACAAUCAUUAAUGGA